rnacentral:lncRNA from 1 species
GUGUAAAUAAACCUUUUAUUUGAGUUCCAAACCGCUUGCUCCAAGAUCCCUUUAUUGAAAAGAUGCUGACUCUCCAGCCCUUCUUGAGCCGCUGUGCGAAAUGCUCUGCUGUAAUGGCACAUUGUCGCAUCGGAAGCGCACUGGACAUUUGAUUAGCAUUAAGCUAAUUAAAGUUUAAUGGGACAGGUUCUGGACAGGUUAUGGUGUUUGUACGUCAAGAAGGAGAUAAGGAGUGCAGUUCAGAGUGAUUUAUGAAAGGACUGGAGCGAAGACAGAAGCGGUUGCCGACAACGAAAGCCUUCAAAGCAGCUUGAGUCCUGCAACGUGCCUAGGAAAAGUUUUAAAGAGGCACUGCGCAGUUUGUACUCGCUGGAAGACGUCUUAUUCCUCGAGGGGCCACCUCAGCAGCUGGGAGACGGUCUACAGGUCUGUGAGUAUCGUUCCUAAGCCCCAGGGAGGAUGGCAGAGUCCCAGGAAAGUUUUACUGUCCCAUUUACGCGACUCAAUGGGAAAAAUUGGCAAGAUUGGAAGGCUAGAGUAAGGGUUUGGUUGCAAGCAAAAGAGUUGUGGAGUUGUACUGAAGCACCGCCUUUACAGGCAGCUGCAGACGCGUCUGCAGAAGACAAAGCAGCAGCGGCAGCUUCACAGAAACGCGACAGGAAAGCCCAAGGUCUACUAGUUUUGGCAGUGGGACCAGAGCAAAUGCCUUAUGUUUCUGAGUUAAAGAACACGCAUGAGGUCUGGACGGUUCUGCAGCGGCUCAAUUCCAGAAACACUGCGGGGGCCAAGAUCCAUGCUACAAGAUGUUUGUUUGAUUUACGUCUCCAACCGGGAGCGUGUGUGAAAGAACAUAUUGCCAAAAUGGUGUCUGCCUUUAAUCAACUAAGACAGCUGGGCAUUCCUUUCUCUAUGGAGCAGCAGUCAUACAUUUUGUUGUCUUCUCUUGAUAAAAGCUAUGAGACUCUAGCUUUAACUUUGGAAGCUAUGCCUUCAACUGAAUUAACCCUUGAAUACAUUUCUUCUCGACUUGCAGAUGAACAGGAUAAAAGGCAAAGAGAAAGAGGUUUGUCUUCAAAGGGGAGUUAUGCUGUGCCUAAGAGUGGGGAUGCUGAGUUUGACCACACAGUAAAUGCUUUUGCAGCUAGACACUGUUUUCGCUGUGGUUCCUCUUCCCAUUUAAUCAGGAAUUGUACACGUGAACCUGGUCAAGACAGCACCAAGGCCGUUACCCCUAGUUACCAGACAAGGAGUUCCAGGGGACGUCGAAGAAGAGGAGGAGGUCGUGGCUACUCCCACAGCACACAGCACAUGGCUUCAGCAAUGGCGUUGAUGCAAGGGCGUGGCCAAGGCAGCAAUCUACGCUGGUUGAUCGACAGUGGUGCAUCUCACCACCUGGUGGCGCCAUCUAGUGUCCGUUUGCAGAAUUGCAGACAUUUGCAAACCCUUAAAGUUGUGACAAUGGCAGAUUCAACUAAACGUUCCUUAGAGACCGUAGGCACAGUGUUUUUGAAGUGUUUGCAAACAGAAAUUGAUGCCUACGUGCUAAAGGGAAUGAAGGGGUGUAUUUUGUCUGUGUCAGAACUUGAUAGAAAUGGGUUUAAAACUGUGUUUGAAAAUGGGGUUUGCACUAUUUCAAAGAAUAACGCAUCUCUUUUGCAGGUGGAAUGCAGAGAUGGGUUAUAUUAUUUUGAGACAAGUCCAGAUGAAGUUGAACAGGUUCAUGCUGGUUGUGUGAACUCGCCUACCCAUAAUUCUUGUGUUCAUUUAUGGCACCGCCGUUUGGGACAUAUUAAUUUUCAGUAUGUUAAAAGGCAACCUGAGUUAUCAGAAGGGUGCAAAUUGAACAAAUGUACUAAGUAUUUGGAUUGUACUGCAUGCAAAAGGGCGAAGGUUCAUAGAUGCAGCUAUCCCAGUUCAAAUAGGAAAUCUGACAAAGUAUUCCAACUUGUGCAUAUGGACCUGUGUGGCCCAAUGCCUGUUGCUAGCAUGGGAGGUUCGAGGUAUGCACUGUGUCUCUCAGAUGACAAAACAAAGGUUACAUGGUUUUUUCCUCUCAAAACAAAAGCAGAUACUGCAGAAACAGUUAAAAAUUGGGUUCAUGCAGUAGAACUUGAAUUUGGUACUAGAGUUCUUGCUUUUCAGACAGACAGAGGGUCAGAAUUUACCGGGUCUGUGUUGCAGAAUUUCUUUAAGGAAAAAGGAAUUAAGCAUCGUCUGUCUACACCUUAUUCCCCCCAAGAAGGAGGUGUGGCCGAACGUAAAAACAGGGUUCUGCAAGAGUUGGCAAACUCUAUGUUGUUUGAUGCUAAACUUCCUCAAAGUUACUGGGCGGAAGCCUGGCAGACGGCUACUCAUGUUCUGAACCGAGUAUAUAAUUCGGUAAUUGAUACUACGCCAUAUUUUGCUUUAUAUGGGAAGAAGCCCAAAGUUAAUUACUUUCGGGUGUUUGGAUCUCAAGCCUAUGUACUUAUCCCAAAAGCGUUAAGGAAAAAGGGAAGUCCAAGGGCUAGGAAACUCAUCUUUUGUGGGUACGAACCACACGCCAAAUCUUGGAGGUUCGUGAACCCAGAUGGGGAUACUACAAGAGUGGUCCUCAGUAGGAGCGCUGAAUUUUGUGAGCAAUCCGGAUGGACUCACUUACAUGCUAACCCUGACAUUUUGAGAGAUGAUUUAGGCAUUUAUGCUGAGAAAGAAAGUCCAGAGGGUGAUGAGCCAGAAGGGGACGGUGCACAUGGUUCAGAUGCAGAUUCUGACCAGGCACAAGGUUCUUCUCCUAAGGUAGAAAAGCCAGAAUCUAAGAGUGUUCCAACAUCGCCAGUCAGUAGGCCUAGCAGACAGCAAAAGCGAAGCAGGUCGCCUGCAACACCAAGCCCAAGGGAGGUAUCUAAACGGAGGUCUUUAUCCCUAGAGGCACGUCCAGACAUAAAGUCUGAGACAGAUUCUGACAGCCAACAGUCAGAGGGGGCACAAGAGGAACAAUUGCGCAGGUCAAAACGUGCCACAAAGGGCAAGCCGCCAGAGCGGUUUAAGGUGACAAGUGUAUACGUAAAUAUGGCACAGUGUGAGCCAGAUAGCUAUAUAGAGGUACAACAGCUUCCAAGCUCAGAAGCCGUAAAAUGGCAGGAAGCAAUGGAAAAAGAGAUGGCUUCAAUGAAGUCUCUUGGUGUGUUUACAAGUACAGAGCUUCCGAAAGGGCAACAAGCUGUAGGUUGUCGAUGGGUAUAUCGUUUAAAGCCCACAACUACUGAGGAGUUGCAAUAUAAAGCCCGACUAGUUGCAAAAGGGUUUUCGCAGCGCAAAGGAGUUCACUAUUCUCAAAUCUAUGCCCCUACUUCAAGAUCGGAGUCAUUAAGAAUGCUUUUAGCCUCUUCAGCUAAGAAGGGAAAUAAGCUGUUUCAUUUUGAUGUCAAUGUGGCUUAUUUAAAUGCAGACUUACAGGAGGAAGUCUAUAUGACGCCACCACCAGGUUUUGAAGGAGACAAGCCAAACCAGGUCUGGCGCCUACACAAAUCCAUUUAUGGGUUGAAACAGUCCGCCCGUAAUUGGAAUUCCUGCUUAAACGAUGCUCUAGAGAGCAUGGGGUUCAGAAAGAGCGCAGCAGAUGCGUGUCUUUAUCUAAAAGGCUCGGGAUGUGAACAAGAAGCAGUCUUGAUAUUUGUUGACGAUUUAUUAUACAGUGGAAAGGACGAUAAACUUGCACAACAAUUUGCCACAAAGCUUGGAGAAAAGUUUCAGAUAAAAUCACUAGGCAAUGUAUCUGUUUAUCUAGGAGUUAAAAUUCAGCAAGAUGAAGAUGGGAACUAUUGGCUCAGCCAAGAAGCUAAGAUCCAGCAGUUGCUGGAAAGGUUUAAAAUGGACAACUGUGCUGGUGUUAAAACCCCAAUGGAGUUAAGUUACACAAAGGAUGCUCAAACUGAGCAACAGGCAGAGUUCUGUAAUCCCGGGGUUUACCAGUCAGCGAUAGGCAGUCUACUCCACAUUGCACAGUGGACUCGGCCCGAUAUAACAUAUGCUGUCAACAUGCUGUGUAGACAAGCUGAAAAACCAUCAAUGCAUGCUUGGCAAGGAGUAAAAAGAGUUUUGAGGUAUCUCCAAACUACCAAAAGGUUUCGCUUAAAACUAUCAGCAGAGGGCAGCACACAACUUGAAUGUUGGGCCGACAGCAGUUGGGCAGAUGCUGGACCAGAUAGAAAAUCAGUAUCAGGAAUGGCGAUAAAAUUUGGAAAUGCACUAAUUGGUUGGAGAUCAAGAAAACAAUCACUUAUAGCUUUAAGUUCAACUGAAUCUGAGUUCAAUGCAUUAUCAGAUGUAUGUAGAGAACUGGAAUUUUAUAAGCAACUGGUACAAGAAUUGUUUGGAGAAUGUUCCCUACCUAUCAGAGUGUGGGAAGACAAUCAACCUUGUAUUAAACUAGCUAAAUCAGGUCAAUUCAAGGCACACACAAAACACUUGGAUAUCCGUUAUCAAAAUGUAUGCCAAAGUGUAAAACAAGGUUUAAUUGAACUAAAGUAUUGUCCAAGCCAAGAAAAUCUCGCAGACGGUUUUACAAAAGCUUUGAGUCCGCAAUCUCAUAAAUGUUUCUGUUCAGGUUUAAAUUUGAAUUAAGGUUGGUACAGCUCAGUGUUACGAGCGAGAGGGGGUGUUGGUAUUAAAGGGUUAAGAAGCUCUAAUCAAGACGCUCUAUUCACUGAGCAGCUGGAGGUCGUUAAGCUUCCAGGAAUGUGAGUUUGUAUAAAUAGUCAGCUCACUCGUGUGUUUGCCCCCUUCCCUUUUUUGGGGGGGCGUGUUUGCUGAAAUGUGUGGUUCUUCACCAGGGUUUUUUGUUUUGUGUAAAUAAACCUGUUAUUUGAGUUCCAAACCGCUUGCUCCAAGAUCCCUUUAUUGAAAAGAUGCUGACUCUCCAGCCCUUCUUGAGCCGCUGUGCGAAAUGCUCUGCUGUAAUGGCACAUUGUCGCAUCGGAAGCGCACUGGACAUUUGAUUAGCAUUAAGCUAAUUAAAGUUUAAUGGGACAGGUUCUGGACA